UGAGGAAUCUUGCGCAAUGGAGGAAACUCUGACGCAGCCACGCCGCGUGCAGGAAGACACCCCUCAGGGGCGUAAACUGCUUUUAUACGGGAAGAACACCCUGCUCGGCAGGGUCUGACGGUACCGUACGAAUAAGCACCGGCUAACUCCGUGCCAGCAGCCGCGGUAAUACGGAGGGUGCAAGCGUUGUCCGGAAUCACUGGGUGUAAAGGGUGUGUAGGCGGAUAUGUAAGUCAGGGGUGAAAGCCACCGGCCUAACCGGUGAACUGCCCUUGAUACUGCAUAUCUUGAGUCCUGGAGGGGUCACUAGAAUUCGUGGUGUAGCGGUGAAAUGCGUAGAUAUCACGAGGAAUACCAGAGGCGAAGGCGGGUGACUGGACAGGUACUGACGCUGAGGCACGAAAGCGUGGGGAGCAAACAGGAUUAGAUACCCCUGUAGUCC
rnacentral:rRNA from 1 species